AGUGAACGCUGGCGGUAGGCCUAAUACAUGCAAGUCGAACGGAAGCACAAUAAGCGCUCGCCUCUAAUGGUGGCGGGUGGCGGAUGGGUGAGGCAUACAUAGGAUUCUAAUAAUACGGGGGGGAUUACGUAGGGCAAGUGAUGAUAAUAGCGAAUACGACCUACGGGAUAAAUCAGGAGUUAUACGGAGCCUUCGCGAUAGAUAGAGCCGAUGUCGGAUUAGCUAGUUGGCAGGGUAAAGGCCCACCAAGGCAACGAUACGUAGCUGAUCUGAGAGGAUGAUCAGCCACACUGGAACUGAGACACGGUCCAGACUCCUACGGGAGGCAGCAGUAGGGAAUAUUGCGCAAUGGGCGCAAGCCUGAUCCAGCCAUGCCGCGUGAGUGAUGAAGGCCUUCGGAUUGUAAAGCCCUUUUGUUGGGAAAGAAAAUCAGCAUAUUAAUACCCCGCUAUUCUGACGGUACCCAAAGAAUAAGCACCGGCUAACUUCGUG
rnacentral:rRNA from 1 species